UACGAAGGGGGGCUAGCGUUGCUCGGAAUUAUUGGGCGUAAAGCGCACGUAGGCGGCUUUGCAAGUCGGAUGUGAAAUCCCUCGGCUUAACCAAGGAAGUGCAUCCGAAACUGCAGAGCUUGAGUACUUAAGAGGAUCGCGGAAUUCCCGGUGUAGAGGUGAAAUUCGUAGAUAUCGGGAGGAACACCAGUGGCGAAGGCGGCGAUCUGGGAAGAUACUGACGCUGAGGUGCGAAAGCGUGGGGAGCAAACAGG
rnacentral:rRNA from 1 species